rnacentral:rRNA from 1 species
UACAGAGGUCCCAAGCGUUGUUCGGAUUCAUUGGGCGUAAAGGGUGCGUAGGCGGCGGGGCAAGUCUGAUGUGAAAUCCCGGGGCUCAACCCCGGAACUGCAUUGGAUACUGCCUUGCUCGAGUACUGGAGAGGGAACUGGAAUUUACGGUGUAGCAGUGAAAUGCGUAGAGAUCGUAAGGAAGGCCAGUGGCGAAGGCGAGUUCCUGGACAGUUACUGACGCUGAGGCACGAAGGCCAGGGGAGCAAACGGG